rnacentral:rRNA from 1 species
GUCUACAGCUAUACCACCCCAAGUACACCCAAUCCAGUCUGAUAUUGGAAGCUAAACAGGGGUGGGUUCAUACUUGGGUGGGAAACUGUUACAGGAUGGUAAAUCCUGUGUGUG